GACGAACGCUGGCGGCGUGCUUAACACAUGCAAGUCGAACGGAAAGGCCCUGCUUUUGUGGGGUGCUCGAGUGGCGAACGGGUGAGUAACACGUGAGUAACCUGCCCUUGACUUUGGGAUAACUUCAGGAAACUGGGGCUAAUACCGGAUAGGAGCUCCUGCUGCAUGGUGGGGGUUGGAAAGUUUCGGCGGUUGGGGAUGGACUCGCGGCUUAUCAGCUUGUUGGUGGGGUAGUGGCUUACCAAGGCUUUGACGGGUAGCCGGCCUGAGAGGGUGACCGGCCACAUUGGGACUGAGAUACGGCCCAGACUCCUACGGGAGGCAGCAGUGGGGAAUAUUGCACAAUGGGCGGAAGCCUGAUGCAGCAACGCCGCGUGCGGGAUGACGGCCUUCGGGUUGUAAACCGCUUUCGCCUGUGACGAAGCGUGAGUGACGGUAAUGGGUAAAGAAGCACCGGCUAACUACGUGCCAGCAGCCGCGGUGAUACGUAGGGUGCGGGCGUUGUCCGGAUUUAUUGGGCGUAAAGGGCUCGUAGGUGGUUGAUCGCGUCGGAAGUGUAAUCUUGGGGCUUAACCCUGAGCGUGCUUUCGAUACGGGUUGACUUGAGGAAGGUAGGGGAGAAUGGAAUUCCUGGUGGAGCGGUGGAAUGCGCAGAUAUCAGGAGGAACACCAGUGGCGAAGGCGGUUCUCUGGGCCUUUCCUGACGCUGAGGAGCGAAAGCGUGGGGAGCGAACAGGCUUAGAUACCCUGGUAGUCCACGCUGUAAACGGUGGGUACUAGGUGUGGGGUCCAUUCCACGGGUUCCGUGCCGUAGCUAACGCUUUAAGUACCCCGCCUGGGGAGUACGGCCGCAAGGCUAAAACUCAAAGGAAUUGACGGGGCCCCGCACAAGCGGCGGAGCAUGCGGAUUAAUUCGAUGCAACGCGUAGAACCUUACCUGGGUUUGACAUGGAUCGGGAGUGCUCAGAGAUGGGUGUGCCUCUUUUGGGGUCGGUUCACAGGUGGUGCAUGGCUGUCGUCAGCUCGUGUCGUGAGAUGCUGGGUUAAGUCCCGCAACGAGCGCAACCCUUGUUCACUGUUGCCAGCACGUUAUGGUGGGGACUCAGUGGAGACCGCCGGGGUCAACUCGGAGGAAGGUGGGGAUGACGUCAAGUCAUCAUGCCCCUUAUGUCCAGGGCUUCACGCAUGCUACAAUGGCUGGUACAGAGAGUGGCGAGCCUGUGAGGGUGAGCGAAUCUCGGAAAGCCGGUCUCAGUUCGGAUUGGGGUCUGCAACUCGACCUCAUGAAGUCGGAGUCGCUAGUAAUCGCAGAUCAGCAACGCUGCGGUGAAUACGUUCCCGGGGCU
rnacentral:rRNA from 1 species